GAGUUUGAUCAUGGCUCAGGAUGAACGCUAGCGGCAGGCUUAACACAUGCAAGUCGAGGGGUAACAGAGGUAGCUUGCUACUUGCUGACGACCGGCGCACGGGUGAGUAACGCGUAUACAAUUUACCUUUUACAGGGGGAUAGCCCAGAGAAAUUUGGAUUAAUAUCCUAUGGUAUUAUUAAUUGGCAUCAAUAAAUAAUUAAAGCUUCGGUGGUAACAGAUGAGUAUGCGUCCUAUUAGCUUGAUGGUAAGGUAACGGCUUACCAUGGCUACGAUAGGUAGGGGCCCUGAGAGGGGGAUCCCCCACACUGGUACUGAGACACGGACCAGACUCCUACGGGAGGCAGCAGUGAGGAAUAUUGGACAAUGGGCGCAAGCCUGAUCCAGCCAUGCCGCGUGCAGGAAGACGGCCCUAUGGGUUGUAAACUGCUUUUAUACAGGAAGAAACCUUUUCACGUG
rnacentral:rRNA from 1 species